rnacentral:rRNA from 1 species
CAGUUUAUACCGUAGCUUGCUACACCAUAGACUGUGAGUUGCGAACGGGUGAGUAACGCGUAGGUAACCUACCUAUUAGAGGGGGAUAACUAUUGGAAACGAUAGCUAAUACCGCAUAACAGUAUGUAACACAUGUUAGAUGCUUGAAAGAUGCAAUUGCAUCGCUAGUAGAUGGACCUGCGUUGUAUUAGCUAGUAGGUAGGGUAAUGGCCUACCUAGGCAACGAUACAUAGCCGACCUGAGAGGGUGAUCGGCCACACUGGGACUGAGACACGGCCCAGACUCCUACGGGAGGCAGCAGUAGGGAAUCUUCGGCAAUGGGGGGAACCCUGACCGAGCAACGCCGCGUGAGUGAAGAAGGUUUUCGGAUCGUAAAGCUCUGUUGUUAAGGAA